GUCCCACCAUGGAAACGUCGCAGGCACUAUAUACAGCAGCUUCCCCUUCCCGUCUGUUGCAGCUCCGCUCAACCGUGCUGACCUGCAUGGACUGGCCAUCAAUUCAGCUUCGGCCCCCCUCAUACGGCGCGGGAGUCCCCAUCGUUCCACCACGGUGGCCGCUCUGCAUCCCAGCCAAGCCAGCCAUUCUCCCCAAAACCUCCACCUCUGCAGAGCCGUGUUUCCCCUCCAGCUAACAGCAAGUCCUGAGAACGGUUCUGUGCACUUGGGCUGCACCCCUCCCCUGCUCUCUCUGCAAGCCAGGUUCCCGCUGCAGAUGCCAGUUAGCCUGCCCAAGCCUUGGGACAAUUCUUGAAAAGCCCUGUGGGCUGGGAAGAGGUUUCUUUUGUAGCCAACUUUAUAUUAAAGUUUUAUACAGUUC